rnacentral:rRNA from 1 species
GUCUACGGCCAUGCCACUCUGAACAACCCUAAUGUCUGAUCUUGGAAGCUAAGCAGGGUUAACCCUGGUUAGUCCUUGGAUGGGAGACCACCUAGGAAGGCCAGGUGCUGUAGGCA